rnacentral:rRNA from 1 species
AGCGAACGCUGGCGGCAGGCCUAACACAUGCAAGUCGAACGAAGUCUUCGGACUUAGUGGCGGACGGGUGAGUAACACGUGGGAACGUGCCUUUAGGUUCGGAAUAACUCAGGGAAACUUGUGCUAAUACCGAAUGUGCCCUUCGGGGGAAAGAUUUAUCGCCUUUCGAGCGGCCCGCGUCUGAUUAGUUAGUUGGUGAGGUAAAGGCUCACCGAGGCUACGAUCAGUAGCUGGUCUGAGAGGAUGACCAGCCACAUUGGGACUGAGACACGGCCCAAACUCCUACUGGAGGCAGCAGUGGGGAAUCUUGCGCAAUGGGCGAAAGCCUGACGCAGCCAUGCCGCGUGGAUGAUGAAGGUCUUAGGAUUGUAAAAUCCUUUCACCGGUGAAGAUAAUGACUGUAGCCGGAGAAGAAGCCCCCGCUAACUUCGUGCCAGCAGCCGCAGUAAAAC